rnacentral:rRNA from 1 species
GGACAUUACCGAGUUUACAACUCCCAAACCCCUGUGAACAUACCUAUACGUUGCCUCGGCGGAUCAGCCCGCGCCCCGUAAAAAGGGACGGCCCGCCCGAGGACCCCUAAACUCUGUUUUUAGUGGAACUUCUGAGUAAAACAAACAAAUAAAUCAAAACUUUCAACAACGGAUCUCUUGGUUCUGGCAUCGAUGAAGAACGCAGCAAAAUGCGAUAAGUAAUGUGAAUUGCAGAAUUCAGUGAAUCAUCGAAUCUUUGAACGCACAUUGCGCCCGCCAGUAUUCUGGCGGGCAUGCCUGUUCGAGCGUCAUUUCAACCCUCAAGCUCAGCUUGGUGUUGGGACUCGCGGUAACCCGCGUUCCCCAAAUCGAUUGGCGGUCACGUCGAGCUUCCAUAGCGUAGUAAUCAUACACCUCGUUACUGGUAAUCGUCGCGGCCACGCCGUAAAACCCCAACUUCUGAAUGUUGACCUCGGAUCAGGUAGGAAUACCCGCUGAACUUAAGCAUAUCAAUAAGCGGAGGGAAAAAACCAACCCACCC